CCACCUCCUUUGGUACCCUUUUCACCAUCUUCCACCACUUCUGUCUUUACAUCACCCACCUGUUUGUCUCCAUAUUAUCUACUUUUUUGAUUGCCACACCAUGCCUCCCCAUCACCCUCCUGUGAGCCUCUACUGUGACACAAUUGUUUCAUGUCACCCUCCUCCUUCUCAAACAUUUCUCUUCACAUCCCUGACACCAUAUUCUAACCCACCUUUUCAUGUUGUGCCCCUUCUCAUUAACCGUCCAUGCAGGGCCGUCUUGCCGCAUGGGCACGCUGAGCAAUUGCCCGGGGCCCCACAACGUUGCCCAUGUACCAGCUCCAACAGGGGAGAUCCUUUGUCUCCCCUGCCAGCCCAGAGUUACCAUGGCAAUGCUGCGACACCACAUUCUGCUCACGGGAGGAGUGAAGAUAGCCUGCAGGCUGUAGAUCAUUACUCACCACUGGACCAUCAGGGUUGGCAAUGUCUCCCCCUCCCACCAAAGGUAAGAAGAAGGGUGGAGGCACUAAGGGUGGACAUGAAGCUUUAAUUGUAAAUAAAAAUAAAACAAAAAAAAUCAUUUUUCCCUAUGCAUUCC